GUUACGCUAAUACCGCAUACGAUCUAAGGAUGAAAGUGGGGGAUCGCAAGACCUCAUGCUCGUGGGAGCGGCCGAUAUCUGAUUAGCUAGUUGGUAGGGGUAAAAAGCCUACCAAGGCAUCGAUCAGUAGCUGGUCUGAGAGGACGACCAGCCACACUGGAACUGAGACACGGUCCAGACUCCUACGGGAGGCAGCAGUGGGGAAUUUUGGACAAUGGGCGAAAGCCUGAUCCAGCAAUGCCGCGUGAGUGAAGAAGGCCUUCGGGUUGUAAAGCUCUUUUGUCAGGGAAGAAACGGUGAGAGCUAAUAUCUCUUGCUAAUGACGGUACCUGAAGAAUAAGCACCGGGCUAACUACGUGCCCAGCAGCCGCGGGUAAAUA
rnacentral:rRNA from 1 species